AUAGAAUUGUAUAAAUAAAAGUAAGAAAUAAAAGAGUUAUACCAAUCUAUUCUCAUGAACCUCCAAUUUUAUUGAACUACCAGAGUGUUUCGUAAUAGUCCCAUCUUUUUCUACGUUUCUAUUUGUUUUACCAGCUUCUGAUUUCUUUCUCCACUCUGGUGUACUCCAAUAUGCAACAAGUUCAUUUCAUAUCUCUGUCUCCAUCCAAUCUGGUCCUAAAUUGUAUAGAUAAGCAACAUCUGUCUUCUUGUGCUUGCGCAACAAUUCGCUCCUAACUCUAUUAAGAAUGUCUCGCAGUCUUUCUUUACCUACCUUUUCCCAAGCAAUUCGAACCAUACCUUCUUCACUCUCAUCCCAUGCAUAUCGACUCUACAAAUAACAAUCAGUGUUAAGUAAAUUUAAAAAACUUAAAAUGCAUAUUAUAAAUUUUAGAAUAUAAGUUGUAUUUACCCGAAAAAGUCCGAAGAGCUCGUCUUUUGUCUUUAAAGGUAUUUCUGACCAAGUUUUCCAUGGAGCAGUAUAGCGCAUCUUAAUGUCAUUAGUGAUUGAUCUAGUAACCGUAGAAUCUAAAAAACUGCAAUAUUUUUAUAUAUAAUGAGUAGUUUUAAGUAAUAAUACAUAUUAAAUCAAUAGCAAAAAGUUGUAUAUGACUUACACAGUUCCUUUCAAUCUAAUCAAUUGUCGAUCAGACGGGUUUGAUGGGAUAGGAUGUCCCAAAUUCGGACCUCUAGUUCGAACUGAUGAUGAUGAGGAUGCGUUUGCUUGGCCCCCUAAUGCUUGUGGAGUGUGCUCCAGUAUUUCCUCCUGCACCUGUACUGCCUCAUCUAUUUCAUUCAUAGACAGAUGCUCGCUAUGUUCUCUACCUCUGGAUGAUACUGCUCUUCGAGGCAU
rnacentral:lncRNA from 1 species